rnacentral:rRNA from 1 species
GAUGAACGCUGGCGGCGCGCCUAACACAUGCAAGUCGAACGGCACCCCUCCUCGGAGGGCAGCGAGUGGCGAACGGCUGAGUAACACGUGGAGAACCUGCCCCCUCCCCCGGGAUAGCCGCCCGAAAGGACGGGUAAUACCGGAUACCCCGGGGUGCCGCAUGGCACCCCGGCUAAAGCCCCGACGGGGGGGGAUGGCUCCGCGGCCCCUCAGGUAGACGGCGGGGUGACGGCCCACCGUGCCGACAACGGGUAGCCGGGUUGAGAGACCGACCGGCCAGAUUGGGACUGAGACACGGCCCAGACUCCUACGGGAGGCAGCAGUGGGGAAUCUUGCGCAAUGGGGGGAACCCUGACGCAGCGACGCCGCGUGCGGGACGGAGGCCUUCGGGUCGUAAACCGCUUUCAGCAGGGAAGAGUCAAGACUGUACCUGCAGAAGAAGCCCCGGCUAACUACGUG